CUAACCUAUAUGAUCUUAUCAAAAUACAAACUCAAAAAUUAAAUAGUAAAAAAACAUAUCUAAAUAUUAAAUCCCAACAUCAUGAUUUAUCAAUCAUCAAAAUCCACAAGAACUUGUUACAAAUUUGCUUCGGUGGAUUAGGAUUAGGAUUAGCAGCAUCAUUCGAAAUUAAUAAAAGUUUUAUUAAUCUCUAUUUGAUUAAUACUAUUAUCCAGAACUGAAAUUAGUAAAAGUUUUAUUAAUUAAAACAAAAUUAAAGACCAACCACAGCACAAUGAAAAAUCAAAAAAUUAUCAACAUGACCAUAUCUAAAUUCUGCCACCAACAUUUAGCAACAAACAAAGCCAGCAAAACCAGCAAUAAUUAGGAGCCAGCAACUACAAAUCAAAGCAAAAACAGUAACUACAAAACAAAGAAGUAUCCAUAACCAGAUACAAAAUUAAAGACUAGCCAUAGCACAUUGAAAAAUCAAAAAAUUAUCAAGAUGAGCAUAUCUAAAUUCUGCCACCAACAUUCAGCAACAAACAAAGAAAUAAAAACAGCAGGACAUUCAGCAGCAAAAACACCAUUACCAACAGCAUUCAGCAUUCAGCAUUCAGCAACAAAAAUUAUCAUUCAGCAACAAACAGGGCAUUCAACAACAAAAAUUAGCAUUCAACAACAAAGUGUGAUCUUAUCAAAAUACAAUCUCAAAAGUUAAAUAGUAAAAAGAAAUAUCUAAAUAUUAAAAACCAACAUGAAGAUUUAUCAAUCAUCAAAAUCCAUAAAUUAGAACCUUGUGACUGACUAUUAUUCGAACUAGGUGGAUUAGGAUUAGCAGAAUCAUUUGAAUUAGGAGGAUUGACAGACGAAUUAUUACUCAAACAGGCAUUAUAAGCAACUGCUUCUUGAUUAAUACUUUCAUCCAUAACUAAAUUCAAUAAAUCAUAAUCCAAAUUAAAAACAGCAACAGAACGGCUAGAAAUCCAAUAAUCAUCCAUAAGACCAUAGAACAGAAUCAGUAACAAAUCCAUUACUCAAUUUCAGAAACAAUCAGAAACAAAUCCAUUACUCAAUUUAAGAAUCAGUAACAAAUCAGUAACAAAAGCACAUAUUAGAACAGAAUCAGUAACAUAUCAGAAAUCAAUCACUAACUUCAGAGUUCAGAUUCACAAAUCCCUAAUUUCAGAAAUUGCAUAUUUGAGUAAUUUGAAAUUUCAGAGUUCAGACCACUAACCUUGACUGAGAAAUUAUAAAAGCUAGAAAUUAUAAAACCAAUCAGAAAUAUGGUUAAAGCAUUUCAUCAAACAUGUUGAGUGCGGUAAAAUUAAAAAUGAAAUAAGAGAAUCCAAAGCUUAAUUUCAAUGUGAUAGAGAAGAGAACAAAACUAUUGUAACUUUAAUUUAACCGUCGCCAUUCCCGGAUCCUAAGAGCCGCCGCCGUCCCUAGGUCUUCAGCGCCGCCGCUUCUUCCUCUUCCCCGUGUCCGGAACCCAGUAGAUCUGCACGUCGUCUUCAUCUUCGCCGGCUUCUCGGCACGGAACCCAGGUUAGUGGCUUCUCGUCUUCAUCUUCAGUUCUUCACUGAAUGUUUAGUCUUGUUCUUGGCUUGAACUUUGAAGCUCUGAUGUUGUUCUUCGAUCUUCUUCUUCGGCCGCCUUCAAUUUUUGUUCCGUUUUUCUUCAAUUCUUCUUCUUGGGUCUUGGUUUGAAGUUUGUUUCUGAAUGUAUUUGUUGAUGGAUCUGUAAUUAACUAAUUACCCAGUUGCUGGUUUUGCUUUGAUUUGUAGUUGCUGGCUUCUAAUUAUUGCUGGUUUUGCUGGCUUUGUUUGUUGCUGAAUGUUGCUGGUUUUGCUGGCUUUGUUUGUUGCCGGUUGCCGUUCGUUGAAGGCCGAAGCAAAUUUCCAACAAGUUCUUGCAGAUUUUGAUGAUUGAUAAAUCAUGAUGCUGGGAUUUAAUAUUUAGAUAUGUUUUUUUACUAUUCUAUUUAACUUUUGAGUUUGUAUUUUGAUAAGAUCAUAUGGAUUUGGUUGAUGAUA